UACGGAGGGUGCAAGCGUUGCUCGGAAUUAUUGGGCGUAAAGGGUAGGUAGGUGGUCUCAUUUGUCUGGGGUGAAAGCCUUGAGCUUAACUCAAGAAGUGCCUCAGAAACGGUGAGACUAGAGUCCUAGAGAGGGUCGUGGAAUUCCCGGUGUAGCGGUGAAAUGCGUAGAGAUCGGGAGGAACACCAGAGGCGAAGGCGGCGACCUGGAUAGGUACUGACACUCAACUACGAAAGCGUGGGGAGCAAACAGG
rnacentral:rRNA from 1 species